rnacentral:rRNA from 1 species
CUACGGGCGGCAGCAGUGAGGAAUAUUGCACAAUGGAGGAGACUCUGAUGCAGCAACGCCGCGUGGAGGAUGACGCAUUUCGGUGUGUAAACUCCUUUUAUAUGUCAAGAAAAUGACGGUAGCAUAUGAAUAAGCACCGGCUAACUCCGUGCCAGCAGCCGGCGGUAAUACGGAGGGUGCAAGCGUUACUCGGAAUCACUGGGCGUAAAGGACGCGUAGGCGGGUUGGAAAGUCAGGUGUGAAAUCCUACAGCUUAACUGUAGAACUGCACUUGAAACUUCUAAUCUAGAGUAUGGGAGGGGGAGAUGGAAUUAGUGGUGUAGGGGUAAAAUCCGUAGAUAUCACUAGGAAUACCUAAAGCGAAGGCGAUCUCCUGGAACAUUACUGACGCUAAGGCGUGAAAGCGUGGGGAGCAAACAGGAUUAGAUACCCGUGUAGUC